AGCGAACACUGGCGGCAGGCCUAACACAUGCAAGUCGAACGAACUCUUCGGAGUUAGUGGCGGACGGGUGAGUAACACGUGGGAACGUGCCUUUUGGUUCGGAAUAACUCAGGGAAACUUGUGCUAAUACCGAAUGUGCCCUUCGGGGGAAAGAUUUAUCGCCAUUAGAGCGGCCCGCGUCUGAUUAGCUAGUUGGUGAGGUAACGGCUCACCAAGGCGACGAUCAGUAGCUGGUCUGAGAGGAUGACCAGCCACACUGGGACUGAGACACGGCCCAGACGCCUACGGGAGGCAGCAGUGGGGAAUCUUGCGCAAUGGGCGAAAGCCUGACGCAGCCAUGCCGCGUGAAUGAUGAAGGUCUUAGGAUUGUAAAAUUCUUUCACCGGGGACGAUAAUGACGGUACCCGGAGAAGAAGCCCCGGCUAACUUCGUG
rnacentral:rRNA from 1 species